AUGCCGCCGUGGCCGGCGUUGCCGACCUACCGGGGUGAGUUCGCCGCGCCGCUCGUUCUUUAGCGCCGCGGCUUCCUCGAGGGUGGGGUGUCUGUGGCGGGGGCGCUGUCUGCUGGGCUCGAGUGGCUCAAGAGCGACGCGUCGGCCGGCGGCAGUGAGGACGCCCGCGUGUAUGUAGAUGCCCCUCUCCUGGGGGUGAGGACGCCCCCUCCUUCUGCAAGUGAGGAUGCCCCCCGGCGGGUGUGGACGCCCCCUCUCCUGAGAUGUCAAGAACCAUGCAGAUGGCAUCAGACAGCUGCAGUCUAGCAACCGCUGAUGUUAAACAUCCAGUCGUCGGGAUUAAAUGAAUUCUUCUGCAGGGUCAUAGAGACUGGGGGAAAAGCCCUUCAGAGGACAGCUGUAGGACACCCAGGCUCCAGUCUAAUCAGAAGGCCAAUUUGGAAACAUGCAGCCUUAAAAUACUUUAUCAGUUUAUUGAUGUACGGUAAAGGGGUCUGUUGCUUUAAUCUGAGAGCAUUUUGAUCAUGAGUCUGGGUGAGAUUUGUUCAGAUUACUUUCUGAAUUUAUUGAGAUGGGGUGUAGGGAGUGUCUUCUGUGUUGAUCUGAAAAUGUGGGGAAUCAUAUCAGUUCAGUUCAGUCCUCGGUU
rnacentral:lncRNA from 1 species